ACGGGGUGCAGCAGGCGCGAAAACUUUACAAUGCGGGAAACCGUGAUAAGGGAACUCCGAGUGCCCGUAAAAUCGGGCUGUCCAUCAGUUUAAAAAACUGGUGAAGAAAGGGCCGGGCAAGACCGGUGCCAGCCGCCGCGGUAAUACCGGCGGCUCGAGUGGUGGCCACUAUUACUGGGCUUAAAGCGUUCGUAGCUGGUUUGUUAAGUCUCUGGGGAAAUCUGCCGGCUUAACCGGCAGGCGUUUCAGGGAUACUGGCAGACUAGGGACCGGGAGAGGUGAGAGGUACUCCAGGGGUAGGAGUGAAAUCCUGUAAUCCUUGGGGGACCACCUGUGGCGAAGGCGUCUCACCAGAACGGUUCCGACAGUGAGGGACGAAAGCUGGGGGAGCAAGCCGGAUUAGAUACCCGGGUAGUCCCAGCUGUAAACGAUGCGCGUUAGGUGUAUCGGUGACCACGAGUCACCGAGGUGCCGAAGAGAAAUCGUGAAACGUGCCGCCUGGGAAGUACGGUCGCAAGGCUGAAACUUAAAGGAAUUGGCGGGGGAGCAC
rnacentral:rRNA from 1 species